AUAUAUAGGUUAUAUUAGUUUUCCCGAAAUAAAAAGAUCUAAAUUAUUAUAAUAUCUUAGUAAUAAAAUAUUUAAUGUAGCAUUAUUAUAUAAAAUAAUAGUUCAGGGGUGAAAUACUUCUCAAUUUUUAUGAUAUCUGGAAUAUAUUGAAAUGAAUUUAGUUCAUAAAAUAAUCAAUAAGUUAUAAGAUUUAUUGAAAAUAGUUAUUUAAAUAAUUUUUAAAAAUGAAGAAUAUCUUUAUAUUUAAAACACUAUAAUAGUAUACAUUUUUAGGUACACCUAGAGAUUUAUUUAUAUAUUAUAUUAUAUAUCAAUAAUAUAAUUAAUAAUGUUAAAAUUAGUAAAUAUAUAUAAAUUUUUGAAAGGAACUCGGCAAAUAUAAGUUUCAACUAGUUUAUCAAAAACAUAGCUUAUAGUUAAUAUUAUAAGUGCAAUCUGCCCAGUGAAAAUUUUAACGGCCGCAGUACAUUGACUGUGCUAAGGUAGCAUAAUAAAUUGACUUUUAAUUGAAGUCGGGUAUGAAAGGGUCCAUGGGGCUAACCUGUCUUAAAUUAAAUUAUAUUUAAUUUACUUAAAAAGUGCAAAUUCUUUUAACUCAGUAUGUAAGACGAGAAGACCCUAAGAAUUAUUAUUAAUAAUAAACUUAAUUAUAUAUAUGUUUGUUGGGGCAACAAAGUUGGAUAACCAUCUAUAAUAAAAUAUUUAUAUACAUAAUAUAAUAAAUAAGGUUAAUUACCUUAGGGAUAACAGCAUAAUUAUAAACAUAGAUUGUGACCUCGAUGUUGGACUAAGGACUAUAAUAAGUAGCACUUAUUAUAGCUAGUUCUGUUCGAACUAUUGCACCUUA
rnacentral:rRNA from 2 species